AGAAACUUAGGAUAAUACUAAACCAAGGACCUUCAAAGCCCAAAAUAGAGACCGCCUCUCUAGUUUCUG
rnacentral:tRNA from 1 species